GCAUCAGGAAAACAAAUCUGAGAAGUGUGAAACUAAGAAGAGACAUUUUUGGCAACAGAUGCAAAUGCAGUGAUAGAUGUUGAGAGAAACAGUGACAGAAGAGGGGUUUUUAACAAUAUUUGCUGACGGAUGUGCACCUUCACCUGAGGGGACAUUUUGGAGUGGAUGACCAUGCGCCAAGCCAGCUGCAAACAAAGCCAGCAAAAGUCUGUGCCCUGAAAUUGCUGACAUUCUAGUGGAGGAAGAAAGACAAGAAGAUAAUGAUAAGAAACAAAUAAAUGAAGUGUCAAGUGGCUGGAAUAGAAGACAUGGCAUUGAGCCUGCUUCAGCCAUGAAGGGAAGAACAGUAACUUAAGGAAUACUGGAGACGCAAGAUAGAAUCUGGUUCCCUGGAUGACCUCACAGCAUAGAACUUUCUUCUACCUCUUGGCUAGAGAAAAAUAAGCAGCUACCUUAUUUGAACCCCCGUAUUUUUAGUUCAGUAUCUUAGCUAGGAUGGUAUUUCAGUUCCAGCACAUUAGCCGACACCCUAGCUACCGCUGAGGCAAUUGCCAUAGUUCAUGUGUUGCACCAAGAUGGUAGCUAUGGAAGUGGUGAGCAGUGAUCAAAUGCACUUGGAAGAAACAGUCAUCGUGAUUUGCUGAUGGAUGGAAUAUGAGAUUCCAGAAAAAGAGAAGGUUAAGAAUGACCUAAAUUGUAAGCUUCAGCAAUUGGAGAAAUGGAGAUGCCAUUUAUUGAGAUUGGGAGACCAGGAAGGGGUUGACUUUGAGGUCGGUUCAUGAAACCAGAACUGCAGCUUUUUACCCAAUAGAUUUGGGACACUUUCUAAAGCCAAGUUGGAUAUAAGAAUCUGGAAUUGAAGAAAUAAGGAUAGGCUGGAGAGAUGAUUCUGGGAGUUUAUUGUUGGUAUUUAAAUAGUCUUGUUUCUUUCCCUGAAACAUGCCAAAGUCUUUGCACUAUUUCUCUUUGCUUGGAAAACUCUUCUUUGAGACAUUUGGGUGGCCCUCCCUCUCAUCACGGGAGGCUCCUUCUUUCUACAAACCUGGUAAAAACAUCAUCCUGACUCCCCAUUCAUUCACUCAGACCCACACCGCCCUGCUUUACCUGCUCCUCACACUUACCAGCACCUGAAGUUAUCUUUACUAAUUUGCUUGUGUAUUUAUUACCUGCCUUUCCACUUGGAGUGCAGGCCCCUCUAAGACUGACUCUGCCUUUACCUGUUAUGUCCUCAGCACCCAGAAAGUGCCUAACACCCAAGUCAGUGCUCCAUAAAUAGCUGUCAACUGACUGAUGGAAGAACAUUGUCGCUCAAAGCCAUUUCUCUGGCAACACUCACCAACUUCACAUUCUCUUAUGCUAA